ensembl:processed_transcript Gm11947 predicted gene 11947
AGGCUGGCCUGGAACUCAGAAAUCCGCCUGCCUCUGCCUCCUGGGUGCUUGGAGUUAAGGGACAGACACACCAACUCAGCCAGCUUCUGCCCGCCCUCCAUUUAAGAACAUUUGGGGAUUGGUGGCCUGAGGGGGCAUCUGGUCCAGACUAGUCCAGAGGGUAAAGAUCCAGAGAUACAAUGACUUUGUCUCAUGGGUCCACAUUUUCAACCUCCAGGGGAAAAAAAUACAAGAUAGGAACUUGGCCAUUUCUAC